rnacentral:rRNA from 1 species
AACGAACGCUGGCGGCAGACUUAACACAUGCAAGUCGAGCGAGACCUUCGGGUCUAGCGGCGGACGGGUGAGUAACGCGUGGGAACGUGCCCUUCUCUACGGAAUAGCCCCGGGAAACUGGGAGUAAUACCGUAUACGCCCUUUGGGGGAAAGAUUUAUCGGAGAAGGAUCGGCCCGCGUUGGAUUAGGUAGUUGGUGGGGUAAUGGCCCACCAAGCCGACGAUCCAUAGCUGGUUUGAGAGGAUGAUCAGCCACACUGGGACUGAGACACGGCCCAGACUCCUACGGGAGGCAGCAGUGGGGAAUCUUAGACAAUGGGGGCAACCCUGAUCUAGCCAUGCCGCGUGAGUGAUGAAGGCCUUAGGGUUGUAAAGCUCUUUCAGCUGGGAAGAUAAUGACGGUACCAGCAGAAGAAGCCCCGGCUAACUCCGUG